UUAAGCGACUAAGCGUACACGGUGGAUGCCCUGGCAGUCAGAGGCGAUGAAGGACGUGCUAAUCUGCGAUAAGCGUCGGUGAGGUGAUAUGAACCGUUAUAACCGGCGAUUUCCGAAUGGGGAAACCCAGUGUGUUUCGACACACUAUCAUUAACUGAAUCCAUAGGUUAAUGAGGCGAACCGGGGGAACUGAAACAUCUAAGUACCCCGAGGAAAAGAAAUCAACCGAGAUUCCCCCAGUAGCGGCGAGCGAACGGGGAGGAGCCCAGAGCCUGAAUCAGUGUGUGUGUUAGUGGAAGCGUCUGGAAAGGCGUGCGAUACAGGGUGACAGCCCCGUACACAAAAAUGCACAUAUUGUGAGCUCGAUGAGUAGGGCGGGACACGUGGUAUCCUGUCUGAAUAUGGGGGGACCAUCCUCCAAGGCUAAAUACUCCUGACUGACCGAUAGUGAACCAGUACCGUGAGGGAAAGGCGAAAAGAACCCCGGCGAGGGGAGUGAAAAAGAACCUGAAACCGUGUACGUACAAGCAGUGGGAGCCUCUUAAUGGGGUGACUGCGUACCUUUUGUAUAAUGGGUCAGCGACUUAUAUUCUGUAGCAAGGUUAACCGAAUAGGGGAGCCGAAGGGAAACCGAGUCUUAACUGGGCGUUAAGUUGCAGGGUAUAGACCCGAAACCCGGUGAUCUAGCCAUGGGCAGGUUGAAGGUUGGGUAACACUAACUGGAGGACCGAACCGACUAAUGUUGAAAAAUUAGCGGAUGACUUGUGGCUGGGGGUGAAAGGCCAAUCAAACCGGGAGAUAGCUGGUUCUCCCCGAAAGCUAUUUAGGUAGCGCCUCGUGAAUUCAUCUCCGGGGGUAGAGCACUGUUUCGGCAAGGGGGUCAUCCCGACUUACCAACCCGAUGCAAACUGCGAAUACCGGAGAAUGUUAUCACGGGAGACACACGGCGGGUGCUAACGUCCGUCGUGAAGAGGGAAACAACCCAGACCGCCAGCUAAGGUCCCAAAGUCAUGGUUAAGUGGGAAACGAUGUGGGAAGGCCCAGACAGCCAGGAUGUUGGCUUAGAAGCAGCCAUCAUUUAAAGAAAGCGUAAUAGCUCACUGGUCGAGUCGGCCUGCGCGGAAGAUGUAACGGGGCUAAACCAUGCACCGAAGCUGCGGCAGCGACACUAUGUGUUGUUGGGUAGGGGAGCGUUCUGUAAGCCUGUGAAGGUGGCCUGUGAGGGUUGCUGGAGGUAUCAGAAGUGCGAAUGCUGACAUAAGUAACGAUAAAGCGGGUGAAAAGCCCGCUCGCCGGAAGACCAAGGGUUCCUGUCCAACGUUAAUCGGGGCAGGGUGAGUCGACCCCUAAGGCGAGGCCGAAAGGCGUAGUCGAUGGGAAACAGGUUAAUAUUCCUGUACUUGGUGUUACUGCGAAGGGGGGACGGAGAAGGCUAUGUUGGCCGGGCGACGGUUGUCCCGGUUUAAGCGUGUAGGCUGGUUUUCCAGGCAAAUCCGGAAAACCAAGGCUGAGGCGUGAUGACGAGGCACUACGGUGCUGAAGUGACAAAUGCCCUGCUUCCAGGAAAAGCCUCUAAGCAUCAGGUAACAUCAAAUCGUACCCCAAACCGACACAGGUGGUCAGGUAGAGAAUACCAAGGCGCUUGAGAGAACUCGGGUGAAGGAACUAGGCAAAAUGGUGCCGUAACUUCGGGAGAAGGCACGCUGAUAUGUAGGUGAAGCGACUUGCUCGUGGAGCUGAAAUCAGUCGAAGAUACCAGCUGGCUGCAACUGUUUAUUAAAAACACAGCACUGUGCAAACACGAAAGUGGACGUAUACGGUGUGACGCCUGCCCGGUGCCGGAAGGUUAAUUGAUGGGGUUAGCGGUAACGCGAAGCUCUUGAUCGAAGCCCCGGUAAACGGCGGCCGUAACUAUAACGGUCCUAAGGUAGCGAAAUUCCUUGUCGGGU
rnacentral:rRNA from 1 species